GAGAGAGAGAGAGAGAGAGAGAGAGAGAGAGAGAGAGAGAACUCUAACAUUGAAAUAUACCAAUGAAAAGACACAAAUGUAUCAAGACAUUUUCUAUCUACUAUGGUAGCUACAACGUCAGAAUUUCAAAUAAUGCUGGUACAACGGUUCGACAAUAUGGCCGCCACGAACGUAACCACAACGAAGAGCUACGCUAACAUCACGGAGAACCGGCGGCCUGACAAAGAGCGACACGCUUAAACUGACUCACCUCAAAACUGUGCUUGACGAAGGACUUGGAGUAGAAAAAACGAUGAAACAGCACUUGCCCAGUUGCCAUUGCCACCUGUCGAUGAAAACACAAGAGCAUUACGUUUGGACUCGUGGGAGCAGGCCUAACCUUGCACAAUGGACCGCCGCCAUUUUAACUACACCACGCCAACAGUAGCAAACAGCUAACAGCAGGCCGCGAUGUGCUCGAGACCAGAAACGAAUAUAUACCUUUUCUCAGGGCAAAUAAAACGCACACCGACAUAUUUAGAUAUAUUACGAUUCAAGGAGAUGUACCUGCGGUAGCCGGAGAAGAAUGCCCGCGGACUGAAUCAGUUCACACCCAAGGAUGCGAAGGUCGGUCUCUGUGUUCAAGUCGAGGCCGUCGACCAUCGACGGCGUCGGCGAGAGCCUUUCCUCCGGGAUGAGAGAGUUGUCAAUCGUAAGGUACACCUCCGAGUAAACUUUGUCACCAAUAAGGAUGCCAUCGUUGUUCGUGGAUGCGUUGGACGAUACAGAAAGGGGACCCGCGGCCA